rnacentral:rRNA from 1 species
UACGUAGGGUGCAAGCGUUGUCCGGAAUUAUUGGGCGUAAAGGGCUCGUAGGCGGUUUGUUGCGUCGGGAGUGAAAACUCAGGGCUUAACCCUGAGCCUGCUUCCGAUACGGGCAGACUAGAGGUAUGCAGGGGGAGAACGGAAUUCCUGGUGUAGCGGUGAAAUGCGCAGAUAUCAGGAGGAACACCGGUGGCGAAGGCGGUUCUCUGGGCAUUACCUGACGCUGAGGAGCGAAAGUGUGGGGAGCGAACAGG